UGGGGAAUUUUGGACAAUGGGCGAAANCCUGAUCCAGCAAUGCCGCGUGUGUGAAGAAGGCCUUCGGGUUGUAAAGCACUUUUGUCCGGAAAGAAAUCCUUGGCUCUAAUACAGUCGGGGGAUGACGGUACCGGAAGAAUAAGCACCGGCUAACUACGUGCAGCAGCCGCGGUAAUACGUAGGGUGCAAGCGUUAAUCGGAAUUACUGGGCGUAAAGCGUGCGCAGGCGGUUUGCUAAGACCGAUGUGAAAUCCCCGGGCUCAACCUGGGAACUGCAUUGGUGACUGGCAGGCUAGAGUAUGGCAGAGGGGGGUAGAAUUCCACGUGUAGCAGUGAAAUGCGUAGAGAUGUGGAGGAAUACCGAUGGCGAAGGCAGCCCCCUGGGCCAAUACUGACGCUCAUGCACGAAAGCGU
rnacentral:rRNA from 1 species